GAUUUAUAAUUAUAUAGUAAUAUAAUAUAAAUUAUAAUUAUAACAUCAUUUAUAGUAUAAUUAUAUAAUAUAAUUUAUAUUUUGUAAUCUUGAGGUGAAAACCUCGAUAUAUUUUUGCAAGAUUCACCCCUUAAGGUCAGUGGUUAAUUGUCCUCGUUUUAGUUUCAAUUAUGACUGGCUUUCAUACAAACACACAAUCCUUCUUAUCACACAUACUAUGCAAAGUCAUAUCAGAUUUGAAUUGAAAUGAUUAAUUACAUUUGUAAGUUCUCUUUGCCCUAUAAAUACAUAUUUCUCACUCACUGAUUCAAAUGAAUGUGUUUUGCUCAAACGUUUAUGCCAUUAAGGAGGAAGAAAAAAGUUGUUAGUCAUCAGUUCUCCCAUUCUUUCAACCACACUCCUUGAAAAGACUCCACAGACAAACUAAUAACCUAGUGACCGUUGUUCCAGCACAUGCCAUCAUUAUGAACAAUCAAUUCAGCAGCGCCGGGAAUCAUGACCAGAAUCCAGUGUUGAUCCCCAAGCUGGCGAAACUUAAACCUGUGGACAUGAAUAAAGGCGCAGGCUCCAGGCCACUCAUGGUCAAACCCAACUUCAUGGUUAACUCUAUGGAGGCUAGAUUCAAUCCUCCAGUUUCUAACAACAAGACCAAUGGUGACUCGAGAAGUGAUGCUGUAGGAGUGAAGCUGCCCAAUAGAGGAAAACAGGAGAACGCUUUUACACAAGCCCCCACUGGAGCCGGAUUCCAGAUUCCUGCCAAACUGCCUAUUAUGCAGAAACCUGUUCUCCAUGAAAAGAUCUCUGCAGCACCGGGAACCGCUACUGGUGAUUUGUCAGUGCCAAAAAAUAAGUCUCUUCCCAGUGUGUUUGCUUUAGGAAAAUGUCCUGCCAAACCACAGAGACCUCCACAUGUUAACCUCAGCAAGUUCAGAGGGAAUGUAUCCAACACCAGCAACCCUGAGGAAAAUUUCUCCCUCCGACCCCCACCGCCUCCAGAACGCCUGUCAAUCACAUCUGUGACUCCACCCCCACCACCACCCUUCACAUUUCCACCUGCUCCCCCUCCAGUGGAUGAGGAGGGUUAUUACGAUGAUACAGACGUCAUGAGCCGGAUGGAGACUUCACUAGGUAAAAGCAGCAAUGACCCUGAGGAGUCAGACGAGGACAUGUACGAGGAUCUUGAUCACAAUUGGUGAGAGUGUUCAUUUAAUGUACGAGUAUUAAUUAAUUUACUAUUGCUCAUAAUAUUUA
rnacentral:lncRNA from 1 species